rnacentral:lncRNA from 1 species
AGAAUAAGACGAGGAGUAGAAACUCCCAUACAAUCAGCGGGAAAAAAUCUGCUAAAUAUGUGGGUGCUCAUAAAGAAUCAAGUUAAACCUAUCAUCACAAUCAAUAGAAGCAAGAAGCGUAGCGUCCACACAAUAAUUUGUUUAUCUUUUCUUUUUCCAUAAGUUUAUUACGAAGAAAAUAAUCAAAUGGAUUGACCUAUAGGAACCCAAAAACCCCAAUUAAUGUUAGGCCCAAGGAGGAAGUGAUUGCAACCUCAGAGCAAGGAAAAUCCACUAUAUGGAGGGUUUACUCGUAAGAAAAAGAAGUAGCGGGGAAAGUGAGAAGAGUGAAAUUGCUUAGUGGCAGAUACUUAUUAUUCUCACGUUUAAAGGUGAGGUAGUGAGGAAUAUGCAACAGUUUUUUUACUGCAGUUAGUAUUUUGGGCAUGGAAUUCUAUUCUCUGAUGAGCCUAGCCUUUGGAAAAUUGUAGAUAGUAUCACUCUCAUUUGUCUUUCUUGUUUCUAUUUCAAUUCAAUAAAUUCUCCUAAAUUUAACUUUCAUAUUUCUCUGUCUUAUCAAUUAGUCCAAAAAUGGCAGAGAGAGUCACAUAAUUGGAACCCCGCAUGUCUCAUGUUGAGUCAGGAAUGUUGUCGAUGCAAGAGACGCUGCUUGUUGAGAUGAAUCGGUUGUGGAACUUUUCGGCACGUUCAUCUCCGCCCCGGGAGAACCACUAUCCCCGUUGGACGAAUUUUGUAUCUCCACUAGGAAAGUGGAGCUUUCUUCUUUCCAUGGUGGAGACCCAAUCGCUUGGAUAACAGAUGCUAGAAAUAUUUUGAAGUUCAACAAGUUUCUGACAACAUCCACAUUCAACUUGUUAAACUGGGCAUGGGGGAUCAAACACUUCAUUAGUUCAAUUUGUGGCGUGAUUCAACGGAGGAUGUUUCGUGGGAGAGUUUCAAGGAUGCUCUUAUCAUGCGUUUUGGUGGUGGCUAUUCCGAUAAACCAUUUUAGGAACUCAAGGUUCAAUGGAAGAUUACAUCGUUGAUUUUGAACUCUACUCCUCUCAAUGCGGUCGCCUCCUUGAAAUCCAGUUUUUGGGAUACUUUAUUGGUGGACUUUGUCAUGAUAUUCGCAUUAGAGUUCACACUUUCAAGCCAACAUAUCGAUACCAAGCAAUGUAGGUUGCUCGUGACGUCGAAGUUGAAUUCUCAAUUGAAUUGCAACCCAAGCAUCUUCAUGGGUCACACCUAAAACCCGAAGAUCCUCCUUGGCCUCGGACCUCUAAAUCAGGUUGGUUUCAACGAGAUGGGGCUUCCAAUGGAUCUAGGAUUUUGGGUCCAGUCUAAACAGGGCAUUCAACCACUCAGCCUGAAACUUAUGUUAUGUCCUCAAAUUCGAACAUGAGAGGGUUCUCUUCGACGACGAGUUCCAAAGACUGUUCCACGGUGGAUCUGCGGCGAAGCUCUAGUGAUCAGAGUCGAGGCCGUACAUACCUUUCGCGGCGCUGUCCGAAAAACGAGGAAAUGGCCUUUGGAAAAUUGUAGAUAGUAUCACUCUCAUUUGUCUUUCUUGUUUCUAUUUCAAUUCAAUAAAUUCUCCUAAAUUUAACUUUCAUAUUUCUCUGUCCUAUCAAUUGGUCCAAAAAUGGCAGAGUCACAUGAUUGGAAACACGCAUGUCUCAUGUUGAGUCAGGAAUGUUGUCGAUGCAAGAGAUGCUGCUUGUUGAGAUGAAUCAGAUGUGAAACUUUUCGGCACGUUCAUCUCCGCCCCGGGAGAACCACUCUUCUCCAUUGGACGAAUUUUGUGUCUCCACUAGGAAAGUGGAGCCUCCUUCUUUCCAAGGUGCAUACUCGAUCGCUUGGAUCACACAUGUUAGACAUACUUUGAAGUUCAACGAGUUUUUAACGACAUCCGCAUUCAACUUGUUAAAUUGGGCAUGGAGGAUAACACAAUUCAUUGGUUUAAUUUGUGGCUUGAUUCAAUGGAGGAUGUUUCGUGGGAGAGUUUCAACGAUGCUCUUAUUGUGCGUUUUGGUGGUGGCCAUUCGGAUAACCCAUUUUAGGAACUCAAGGAUCUAAAGAAAUCAUGUUCAGUGGAAGAUCACAUCGUUGAUUUUGUACUUUACUCCUCUCAAUGCGGUCGCCUCCCUGAAAUCCAGUUUUUGGGAUACUUUAUUGGUGGACUUUGUCAUGAUAUUCGCAGUAGAGUUUGCACUUUCAAGCCAAAGUCUCGAUACCAAGCAAUGCAGGUUGCUCAGGACGUCGAAGAUCCUCCUUGGCCUCGGACCUCUAAAUCGAGUUGGUUUCAACAAGAUAGGGCCUCCAAGGAUCUAUGCUUUUGGGUCCAGUCUAAACAGGGCGUUCAUUCACUCGGCCUGAAACUUCUGUUAUGUCCUCAAAUUGGAACACCAAAGGGUUCUCUUUGACGACGAGUUCCAAAGACUGUCCCACGGUGGAUCCGCGGUGAGGCUCUAGUGAUCAGAGUCGAGGCAUUCACACAUACCUUUCGCGACGCUGUCCGAAAAACGAGCAAAGGGCCUUUGUUUCUGUUACGAUGAAAUGUGGCAUCCCUUUCACCAAACUAUUGCGUUUGGUUUUCCUCGGGGACAAAUAAAAUAUGAAUGAGAGGCGAGAUUGUCGCCAUUGAGGCAGAAGUGGUUGGGGUCUUUGGGAGUCUUUGACCUCACUAAUUUUUCAUGUGCAGCGAGUAAGGCCAAAACUAUAAAGUUAGAAGGAGUUAUGGUUGGGGUCUCCCUUAUAGUUCUGGUGUAUGGUGGUGUAACACAUAAAUUCAUUAACCCUUUUGCGGUAUCCGCUUUGGGAUUAAAGGUAGAUGCCUCACAAACGUUGGGAGUCCGUUUGGGGGAUGGCCAUAUAGUUGACACCUUAGGGAAAUGUGCAGGGUUGCAUUCGAAAGUGGGGGAGUUGGAAAUGAGUGUCGAUGCUUACAUUUUGGAGUUAUGAGGGUUAGAUUUGGUGUUAUGAGUGGUGUGGUUAGAAACAUUGCGGAAGGUGAUGAUGGAUUGGAAGGAUAUUACUAUAGAGUUUACCAAGGUAAGGGGUUACUACUGUCUAAAGUCCAUUUGUCGUCAACUGGAAUAUCCUUGUGGUUGUUGAAGAUUCAAAAGGAGGGUCUGGUUGGCCAAAUUCGACUACCAUGGUGGAAGAUAAGCUUCAAAUUGUCCUUGCAGCAACAACUGGAAUUGCAGGUUGUUUUUCACCAAUUUUUUGUGGUGUUUCAAGAGAUUAAGGGCAUUCCCCCUAGCUGCAGUGUUUGCCACUCGAGUGUGUUACACCACGUGUUGGUCCAGUGAGUGUGAGACCCUAGAGAUGCCCUCACUAUAAAAAAAAUGAUAUUGAAAAUCAAAUUUCCGAGUUACUCCAACAAUAGGUGAUUAGGAAUAGCUCCAACGCAUUUUCAAGCCUUGUGAUUUUGGUUAAAAAGAAGGACGACACUUGGAGAAUGUGCAUUGACUAUAGAGUGCUUAAUAGGGUCAUCGUGCAGGACAAGUACCUUAUUUCGGUGGUGGAUGAGCUCUUAGAUGAGUUGUAUGACGUUUGUUUCUUUUCCAAAUUGGAUUUGAAAUCAGGGUUUCAUCAUAUUCAUAUGAAAGAGAAUGAGGUCCAUAAAACAACAUUUCGAACUCAUGACGGCCAUUACGAGUACUUGGUCAUGUCUGUUGGGUUGACUAAUGCUCCAACAACCUUUCAGGUAGUAAUGAAUGAAAUUUGUAAGCCCUUAUUGUGCAGGUGUGUCUUAGUUUUCUUUGAUGAUAUUUUCGUGUAUAGUGCUGAUUGGAAAUCACAUAUUAACUUACUGUUAUUUUAUCAUUGUUAAAGAAACGUCGGUUUGUGGCUAAUCAAAAGAAAUGUGUUUUUGGCCAACAUCAAAUAGAGUAUUCGGGUCAUAUGAUCUCUUCCUAGGGAG